rnacentral:rRNA from 1 species
AGGCUUAACACAUGCAAGUCGAGCGCCCCGCAAGGGGAGCGCGGCAGACGGGUGAGUAACGCGUGGGAACGUACCCUUUACUACGGAAUAACGCAGGGAAACUUGUGCUAAUACCGUAUGUGCCCUUCGGGGGAAAGAUUUAUCGGUAAAGGAUCGGCCCGCGUUGGAUUAGCUAGUUGGUGGGGUAAAGGCCUACCAAGGCGACGAUCCAUAGCUGGUCUGAGAGGAUGAUCAGCCACAUUGGGACUGAGACACGGCCCAAACUC